rnacentral:rRNA from 1 species
CUACGGAGGAUGCAAGCGUUAUCCGGAUUUAUUGGGUUUAAAGGGUGCGCAGGCGGGAGAUUAAGUCGGCGGGGGAAUUUUUCAGGUCCAAUGUAAAAAUGCCUUUGAAACUGGGUUUCUUUGGUGGAGGUGAAGUAGGCGGGAUUUGUGGUGUAGCGGGGAAAUGCAUAGAUAUCACGAGGAACUCCGAUUGCGCAGGCAGCUUACUAAACUACUACUGACGCUCAGGCACGAAGGCGUGGGGAUCAAACAGGAUUAGAUACCCUGGUAGUCCACGCAGUAAACGAUGAUUACUAGCUGUUUGCGAUACAAUGUAAGCGGCUGAGCGAAAGCGUUAAGUAAUCCACCUGGGGAGUACGUUCGCAAGAAUGAAACUCAAAUGAAUUGGCGGGG